UUAUCCCAUAUCCUUUCCCCUCCAAUUCUCCAAACCCCCACUUUACUCAUACCCAAAGUCACUUUUGUUCUUGCUCUCCUCUCACCACUCAGACUUCACAACCAAACCAUUCGUUUUCUGCUCUUUAACCAAAAUCCAAUCUUUGAACACAAACCGAUUCGUGGGUUUUCCGGAAAAGCAAUUGGGUUUUUGUUUGAAAGGAAGUUGAGGAUCGUUGAAAGGAAGUUAAGGGUUUUGUGAAUGCAAAAGAGGAUGGCAUUGAUGAAGCUGAGAAGCCAUGCAUGCUGAACCCAUUGGAACCGUUAAAAGCCUUCCAAAAACCGAGAGCACAGCUGCCAAAGCCCAAUUCUCUCUCUCCUCUCUGUGUGUUUUGCUUCCUUUCUCCAAAGGUCUUCGCUUUCUUAUGGUUUUGGGAUUUUGCUGCGCUCCCAAUUUCUCAAGUUUGAAGGAUCAAUGCUGGACCCAUUCCUGUGCUCUGUUACUUGUUAUUGAUGUCAAGUUGAAUCUGUCUGGAGUGGUGGUCAUUUGAGAUGCUUAUCUUGCUGUCCGGAAUUCUACAAAAUCCGGCUCUUGAAACUUCAGUUCUGUUUGUAUGGCACAUAAGGCGAGGGCUAGGAUAUAUGAGGGAAGCUCUCUCGAAGCUAAUGGAUUGCUGAACUAAGCAGAGAUUAACAAGUAGUAGUGAAGGAGUUGCUGUAUGCCUUUGUGCAUUGCUUUUGGCAACUAAAGCAUAUCAUAAAGCUCAUAAGAGCCCGUUUGAAUGUGAAUGACAUAUUAGUCAUCAACGUAGCGUGCUGAGAGUAUUGCUGCACAAAAUGUUGAUCAAAAUGUACACAGCUACUCUGACAAGUUUCUAGGCAAGAAAGAGCUCAUCUCCUUGUAAAGCAGCAAUUUUAUCCUAAUAAAAUGUUAGAAUUUUGUUCAAGAGGAGUUUUCAAGUUGGAACUAUUUUGCUUGAAGAAUAUCCAAUGGCUGCACCAGAGGUAGUUUGAUUAGGAGUCACUUUGAUCUGUGCCAAGGCUUUCUUGCUUUUUGUAUUGAUGUUGUUAGUUCUGCACAUUUGUUUUUAAUUGUUUGGUUUAAGAUAUGUACAAUUUAAGUUCAAUAAGAUUCAAGGAGAGUACCAAAUAGAA